GUGAACAUCACUUGGACAUGGUCGGUUAGUCAAUCCUAAGAGAUGGGGAAUCCUUGUAUCAAGGGUGCACUCUGCAUGAACAUCGAAAGAGAAUUGGGUUAAUAUUCCCGAACAGGGACAUGGUGGUGGAUGACAAUGUUAGGAAAUAUGGAGAUGUCAUCGAGGGCCUGGGAAGAGUUAUCUUUUCUUUUUAACGACUUUCCCACCCUGAAAUUGGUUCAACCAGAGAUAGGGUCCAACAUAUGGAAGAGAACCACACGUCUUGCGGUGUUUGGUGCCCCCUCGACCACCAUUGAAAAUAUGGAGAACCGAGUACCAUCCAUGCCCGAUCGUACUCAUAUCUGCCUCCUUGGAUUUUUCAAUGUCCACUAGGUUAGUGAUCU
rnacentral:ncRNA from 1 species